rnacentral:rRNA from 1 species
GACGAACGCUGGCGGCAUGCCUAAUACAUGCAAGUCGAGCGAACAGAUGAAGUGCUUGCACUUCUGACGUUAGCGGCGAACGGGUGAGUAACACGUAAGGAAUCUACCUAUAAGCGGGGGAUAACAUUUGGAAGCGGGUGCUAAUACCGCAUAAUAUCUUCUUCCGCAUGGAAGAAGAUUGAAAGACGGCUCUGCUGUCACUUAUAGCUGACCUUACGGUGCAUUAGUUAGUUGGUGGGGUAACGGCCUACCAAGACGAUGAUGCAUAGCCGACCUGAGAGGGUGAUCGGCCACAUUGGGACUGAGACACGGCCCAAACUCCUACGGGAGGCAGCAGUAGGGAAUCUUCCGCAAUGGGCGAAAGCCUGACGGAGCAAUGCCGCGUGAGUGAAGAAGGCCUUCGGGUCGUAAAACUCUGUUAUAAGAGAAGAACAAAUUGUAGAGUAACUGCUACAGUCUUGACGGUAUCUUAUCAGAAAGCCACGGCUAACUACGUGCCAGCCGCCGCAGUAA